GAUCCUGCAGCAUCUCCUGGAACAGGGUCUGUCCGUGAGCUUCAGGAACCGCAUUCCUCUGGAUGAGUUUCAGAAGUUUCUCAUCUGGGACCAGAAGGAGAGCUGGGCCAACGACGUGUCGAAAGUGCGUCGCUUCAUGGAGCUGUACCUCAACGACCCCAUGCGGGAGAUUGAGGAGCCCUACUUCGCUCUGGAGGAG